GAUGAACGCUGGCGGCGUGCUUAACACAUGCAAGUCGAACGGUGAAGCAGGAGCUUGCUCCUGUGGAUCAGUGGCGAACGGGUGAGUAACACGUGAGCAAUCUGCCCUGGACUCUGGGAUAAGCGUUGGAAACGACGUCUAAUACCGGAUACGAGGCGUGGGGGCAUCCCCAACGCCUGGAAAGAACUUCGGUCCAGGAUGAGCUCGCGGCCUAUCAGGUAGUUGGUGAGGUAACGGCUCACCAAGCCUACGACGGGUAGCCGGCCUGAGAGGGUGACCGGCAACACUGGGACUGAGCAACGGCCCAGACUCCUACGGGAGGCAGCAGUGGGGAAUAUUGCACAAUGGACGCAAGCCUGAUGCAGCAACGCCGCGUGAGGGACGACGGCCUUCGGGUUGUAAACCUCUUUUAGCAGGGAAGAAGCGAAAGUGACGGUACCUGCAGAAAAAGCACCGGCUAACUACGUGCCAGCCGCCGCCGUAACAC
rnacentral:rRNA from 1 species